AUUCGGCCUUAUUCUCCACUACGCCAUUAAUGAGCGAAAUCGUGCUCAAUUAUUACAAAAAUGGACAAAUCCCCCCGUCACCUCCCAGGUAACAUAAUAUCUUCCUAUAAAAAGGGACCUGGGAGGAAAGAGGGAAGAGAGACAAUACAAACACGGACACAAAUACACACAGAAAAAACAUUCUUCUCCUGACUCCCCUCACAUAUUAGCCCCCUCUGACUUAAGCA
rnacentral:lncRNA from 1 species